rnacentral:lncRNA from 1 species
AGGCUCGCUGAGAGAAUGUGGAUUGAAAAAAAUGCUCUCCAGGUCUCUUUUUUCCCCUUCUUCAUAACAAGGAUAAGACUUUCCCAACAGUAUGAACGCGGAUGGCCAAGCUCAUGAUCAGCUGAAAUAUUUGAGUGCCUCAGAGAGAAAGCGACGGUGAUGUGUGCUGUAUUUCAGUUUUCACGAUCUACUCGCUACUUCUAGCAUAGGAAUUGAAAACUGUCGCCACAAGAUUAUUUCUGAACUUGAUCAACUGAAGUGUUAAGGCUGUGAGAGGUGGAUGUUUCUCUUCUAGCAAGCAGAACCCUGUCCUUCACUUCCAUGGAGCUGAACGAACAAAGAUCUCUCCACUCCCUGUUUCAACCAUCUCACCCACCAUUUGAUUCCCCAGAUGACUUCUCCCACAGAAGUACACCACCAUUUUAUCAAAACUCAAAAGCAGAGUAACAGAAAUCACCAUUUGUUUCCCUGAAGAAACAUCUUCUGUGCCAGCUCUUCAUCCAGCUUUCGGCAUUCUGUUCUGAAAUGAGAAAUACUUGGUAAUCAGAUUCAAGUGGAAGCUGGUGUUCUGCACUGACAUCUCCUCCUUCAUUUUAGGAAGGUUAAGUACUUCACUGUGUCAUAUUGGAAUUCCUAGCAGAUGAAGAAUCUGCAUGCAUUGCCAUGACAAACUGUCUUGAAAAUCGGCAGCAGGAAAACCAGAACAUAUUUUCUGCUCUGACAUGAGGAAGAAACUUCCCAAACAACUGGGGACAUCCCAUACAGGUAUUUUCUAGUCCAGGACCCAGACUUUGUAGAUAGAUGUCUUGUUGUCAAUUCACAUAAAGCAGCUAAUGCACAGGAACAAAUGCAGAAUCACCUUGCGCAUAAGUGCAUAAUCUCAGUCUGCGAUCAAAAUGUAUAUUUGCAUGUGUAGCCCUAGGUAAGUGCUGGAUAUGAAGAGCUUUCACCAGAAGGAUAAGUUACUCUGCACCAUUUCAAUUUUAGCAAAGAAAUAUGAAGCUUUAAAGGCCUCUGGGUUGACAGGAUGAUGAUGAUGAUUAGGUUUAUGUUAAAUCACUCUCUCCCUCUGGCUUUCUGUGAAUCCUUAGCAGCAAAAGGAACAAAAACAUUCUAUGGUAGAAGAAAUGGGGCAGAACUUCUUUCUUUAUUAAAGAUACUAACUUCUGGUGGGAUGGAAGAGACCAGAGGUGUGAAGUUGUAGUUUAUCCACUCAGCUUCCUUGGCGCAUUUUCAGCUUUUCAUACCACUGACAGAAUCAGUUUUUUGAUUCUUCCGUGACUGAGAACUGAGAUGACCUGUAUGUUUCCAUCAUCUACGUAGAAACAGGCCCAAGAGAGAAUGGACUGUUACCCACACAAAAGUAGUUGAGAGUGAGCAGAAACACUUAGGACAGGCCUUUUACUGGUUCCUCAUAUUCCUUCCCAAACUGAGGCACAAUCUGUUGUUCUUAUGUUUACACAAGAUUCUUUGUCUCCAUCAUUUGUGAUUAUAUAGGAUGUUUUCUGUCAUUCUGAUACGGGAGAAUGUAUUGUUUACAUGCUCCCUGCUAUGGUGUUGUACAUGGCAAGUAAGAUUUCUUGGCAAAAAAACCACCCAGAACUGGGAUAUGUAUUCAGUUCCACUUCAAAUCUGGAACUCUUCUUACUGCACCUUAUUCCAAGCUUGUGAUUUAGAAGAUGUGACUUGCUAGCUUAAAAUAGUAUUUUCAAAUCUGGAUCAAAUAAAGGUAUAUAGGUUCUGUUAAUAGGUUUUGGAAGAUAAUAGCAUGUUUUGGGGGGUGUUUUAGAUUUUAUGGUUUGUUCUGUUUUUCCUUUUAGAAAACUCCUGGAGAGAGCCAGACAGCCUGAAAAUGGCUGAAAAAGGCAGCAAUUGAAAUCCUUCUUAAAUUUUAAUGAUAGAUUGCAAAGGCAACAUUCUGAUAUUUAAAAUGUGGUAACAUUUUAUGGGACCAAGUUCCAUAGCAGAGUAAGGACAAGUGUUGAUGUUGAUCCCCAUCUUCAGAGCAGUCUUAGCUCUGUGUUUAUUUAGACUUGCAUUGUAACAGUAAGAUUUAAUGACAACUUUACCCAUUUUUUGUUUCUAUGAAGAUGAGACAUGUAAGUUAAAAGACACUGUGUAUCAAAAUAAUGCCAACUGUAAUGAGCAGAGAGGUGCACUAAAAUCCUGUGUAAUAUUGUGAUGAGCUGUGCUGCUUUUAUUAGUUUAGUUAAGAGUUACGUUGAUCUUGAUGAGGCAACCACCAGCUUGGUCUGACUUCUGAAAUGAACAUAGGAUUUCUUUGCUGAAUACGGUCUGAAUUUUCUGGAAUUUGAGGCAGGUGCAAAAGCACAUUUCCUUGUAGGGCCUCCUUAUGUUGAAACUGUUGGGAUUUGAUGUAGAUGUCUGUAGAAGCAGGAUCCAUCUCUAAGUGAUGGAAAAUACUGUCAGGAUCCUAGGAUUGUAAGUGGUUGGGAGGUAUCUGGCAUAAGCAACAUCUGAUUUUUUAAAUCUUGGAAUUUCCUUUUCUUCUUCCGCCUGUAGUUGUCCUGAUGUUAGAGCUAGCAGAUGUUUCUUGCAUAGAUUGAUGACAAAAUACUUGCGGGACAAAAAGGUAUUUUUGUUUCUGUGGACAUGUACAAAACCUAAGAAUUUGGCUAACUAGAGAGUAGACGCUUCAACCUCUUUGAGGUUACAGGAGUAACUCUCAAGGUUUUGAAACCCUGCAUUGUAACAAAAAAAAUAGAACUGCUGAUUUUUCCUGACUCCUAUCCAUGACGUUAGUUUUUUCAAGUUUAAUUUCAGAAUGUAAUAUUUUUAGCAGGGGUAAGGAUCUGUGUCUUUCACAGAAGUAAUACUCCAAUAGUGUGUGCCCAGAAGACCCCCACUGCUGUACCUUUCUGGCCAGCACCUUUCUAAAACUGCUGUGUUAGGAAAUGCUGCCUCAGCCUCAUUACUUUGUCUUGCUCUACUUCUUCUCUGUUGGUUGGAAAUCUUCCUGUGUGAAAGAUUACAAAAACAAGGGGCAUGUGCAAUAGAUCAUAUAUAUAUACACAUAUAUAUAUUUUAAUACUUGUGGACAAAAUGAUGUUACAAGUUGUUUGAAAACAACAAAAUCACCAAUGUCUUCCAUUUUGAGAUGUGUAUAGUUCCAUAAGCAUUAGUGCUUUGUAGCAAACUGUAGUGCCAUGUUAGGAUCAGUGCAUGAGCCUAGUAGUAUUUUUGCAAUUUCAGAGUGACAAAUUUAUUAAUAAACAGUGAUUAUAAUGUAAUUAAGAAUAGAAAGGAUACAAUAGAAAUGUCGCAAACAUGGUCUCAACAUGCAGUAUCCUCCCUUUGACAAUGGCAACGCUAUCUUUAGAAAUGAAAUGCAUUCACUUAAUGGGCUUCAUAGAACCACAGUUGACUUUUUGUUUUUAGUCUGUCUGUCCAGCUACAGUAGUAAGCUAGUGUAUGUAAGCAUCCAGAAUUCUCGUCUCCAUCAGUGGGAUUCUUUUCUCUUUAGUCUUUGUUGAAGAUGUUUUCUUCCAUGUGCAGCAUUUUCGAUUUUGUUAUUAUCCAUCCUGUAUUAUACUCAGAAAAGUAUGAGUAUGCUAAGGAGUUUGUAUGCAUUUUGUACACGGCUCUGCUACCUUAAAAUAAUUUACAAAAUCUGUUAAUUAAGUAUUUCUUUUUUUUGUUCAGAUCAGACUAUGUAAUUGUUAUAACUAGUUAAACAUUAUCCCCAUUAUAUAAUAAGUUAAUGGUUGCAAAAUGUUAUCCGCCAAUUAUGCGUAGAAGACUUUUAUCCAUUAUUGCAGGAACAGGGAAAACCUUUUUUUGCUGAAGUCCUACUGAAUCUUUUAAAACCAUCGGUGGAUCCUGCAUUUACAUACAUCUUAAUGUUAAUAAUAAGGAAAGAAUAUAGUAAGGUCAAGGGCUGUUGAAAAACAAUAUUGCAGACUGUAGCUGAAAAACAACAUAGCAGACUGUAUCUGUGCAGCAGGCUGUCUUGAGCCUGUGGAUCAGAGAUUCCCCACUCCUGUAUUAUUGAGAAUUCAAUAUCCUGUAUUUUAGGGAAUUGCCAGUAUUGCUUUCCAGCUCUAAGCUCAAUUGGAAUAAUUUCUUUUUCUCCCUCUGCUUCUUUAGAAAGAGAGUUUAGACCAGGGGAAGUCCAAAUGAUUUAGCACUCAAUGGGCAGCUUGGACUGAUCAAAUAAGAGACUGGCAUGGUUCUUCAGACGUGCAAUGCUCUGUGGAUGUCAUCCUCUGAUUUCCUAGGAAAAAGUCUUUUAUUUGGUGCCAGUGUUGCUCUUCACAUAUUUCUCUCUUUUGCAAGAAAAAAAAUAUUUUUCAACUGAAGAGAGGAUACUGCAUCUUUCUUUUCCUGAGACCUGCCUGUAAAUGGCCGUUAGGGGGAGGGAGGGAACGGGCAGCUUGAUUUUGAUAUGAUGCAUCUCUAAAGUAAUUAAUCAAGAAGCAUGUACUUUGGUGCAAAACCAGUAAUCUGUGCAGAGUUAAUGUGUGUAACGGAAACAAACAAACAAUCCUCUGCAUUGAAUACUUUUCCAAAAAAUUGGACAGGGGGGCCAUUUACAGCAGAGCUCUAGGGGACCUGUGCUGAGAUUUCUGUUCAGUUCUAAAUGGAAGUAGCUGUACCAUUGAAUAACGUAGUUUAGUGCUUGGGAGAAUCAAUUGAAAAAUACCUCUGAAACUGGAAUGCAAAAUAGCACAGUAUGUAGGGGGAAGAAUCCCUGAUGCAAACAAAGCCAUAAGAUGAUUUAAUAAGAAAAUAGAACUUUAGUAGCAAUAACUGUUUUGCAUGUGAUAGUAAAUAACUUGCAUUAGCAAGACUGUACAGUAGAGUAAGUGGGUAAUAACCAAAUAAGUUUGUGGCGCUCUGUGCUGCAGGGAGUUGUGUGUAGAGUCUCUUCCUGAGAAGAUAGGUGAAUUCCUCUUAUGUUCUUCUCCUUGGAGGGAAUUUGGCACUUGAAUAAUUAGUUAAUGAACCUGAUAUAUAAAAACCCCCACUUAGCUUUGUCAGAUGUCUGAAGCACUGUCAAUGAGUGCUGGGGGAAGGGCAGUCAGUUCUUUUUGAAAGGAUAGCUGAAGUUUCUGUAUUUUUUCUUUUUUGUAGUCUAGCACUUACUCUGUUUCUCUGAGAAGAAACCAAACCCUUCCAAAUACAGGACUGUGAAGAGAACCUGAUUCUGAAGUUAGAAGCUUUUAUUGUGGGAAGUAAUUUUUUCUUUGUUUGAAAAGACCAGUCUGAAAUGGUCUAAAAAUAAAAAAAUUAAGCACACUUGACGCUCAAAACAUUUGUGCAUCCCAAGCACAGCUGUACAAUUCUAAAAAUGUUACUUUACAGCAAAAAAUAAUUUCAGCCUUGCUCAACACUGUUUCAGACUGUAAUUGAUUUCUGUUGAUGCCUGAAGUUCUGCAGAGGCAAGUACUGUGAAGCCUCUGGUAACACAAAGGGUUAUUGAUCUACAGCUGUAGCCUCUGCACCCAGCAAAGUAUUUGCUAUCAAAGGGUUACAUAAAAGAGCUGCAGGACUUCUAAAAUGUCCAUAGGUGACAAUAGUUCCAGUGCAGAAAUGUAGUCAAUAGAGACAAUAUGGCCCAACAGAAAAUACUGUAUUCUGAACAGAAUUAUUACAUCAGAGGUUUAGAUCUGGCUGGCUGGAUUUCUUCUAGAAAGCUGAAGUAAUUUGGACUGUAAGUUACAGCUGAAGGGAGGCUUCUAAUGUUCCAAAAUUACGGAGGUGAAGCCCUUUGGUUCUUCAUAAGUUGAUAAUGGGACUGUGAGGGCUGUGAGCAUUUUUACAAAAUGAAGUAACCAAGAUAAGCAUGAGGAUGUCUGAAUUAAAUGUGCGCUAAUUUGUAAUAUGUGUAUGAAAAGCUGGAAGGUUGUAAUCAGCUUAAAUUCCAGCUUUUGAAUUAUUGAUAGAAUUGGAAGCUGGCCAUAGGGGACCUUAAUUUGAUUGUUAUCUGAUUACAUCAGAGAAAUUAUAAAUCUAUUCUAGCCUGUGGUCAGCAAGUACAUUUACACAAUAAUGAAAUAAUAGUAAUGAAAACACGGUUGUGUUCGUACUUCAGAAGUAUGAACUUUGUGGCUAAAUAGAAUUCUUCAAGGGUUUACUUAUUCAGGGGAGGGAGGGUGGUAAAUGAAGACUGGUGUAGCCAGGCGAGCUAUCUGCAUAUUCUUCCUGGUUCAGACUUUUUAUAAUUAUCUGUAUUCUGUACCAGACUAGAAAUUACUAUUCACAGCAACAGAAGGAAUACCUUUGCCUUUCAGCUCUUGUACUGUGGCAUGACUUUUGCUUCAAACCCCUUGAUUUCACUGCUUCUGAAACAAAGUGGAAGUGUGAGAUGCUACUACAUUUCAGUGUGGGAUAUCAAAGGUGUAGUGCCCCGUACUGAGAUGCCGUUCUUUAGCAGGACUAGACCUGGAUAAUACAAGUACAUGGGGUUUUGACACCCUGUUGUGCUGCUGCAGAAGGUCUAGCCGGUACUUAUCUUGGGAAUUGCACCUUCAGGAACUGCACCUUCUGCAACUGAGGAUAAUUGUCAAGUUUAGGACAAAAAGAAAGUCUUUCAAGCACUGACACUUUACACAAGGAUUACAUUGUCAAGAGCUGGCAGUGUGGUUUUUGGGCAGAGAGGGCAAAGAUACGGAAGAGAAGAAAAGUUUUUGAUGGAUAACCAAUCUUAGAAAUAACUGCUUCCUGCAUCCCUAGGAAACUGCCUGGUCUUCCUCCAAAACUAAUAAUCCUGCUUGCUGUUCAGGUACAGAGCUGCGUAAUGGUAGUUCCAGUUGGAUUCCAUUGGGUUUCUUUUGCAGAAUGAUCCAGCAUUUUGCCCCCUGUAGCACUUUGGCUGGCACACAAAAGCCAGCAGCUGAACCAGGUUGUCUCAUUUAAUGGAGUAGAACUCCAGCCAUGGAUUCUCAUGUCUGUUCCCUUUCAGUCUGUUCUACGCUUCCUUCCAAGUUCUAGAUAGUGUUGGUGUUCAUGAUAUAGCAGAGCGUAUUUCUGGCUCUGAGCCUAUGUACCAGGUUAUAAUAUAGACAGAUUCUCUAAGGUUUUAAAACAUUUAAGGUUAAAGAUAAAAGGUGACUUACCGUUAAAACUCACUGUUUAGUGUGUCCUAUGUAAAUCCUGGCUGCUGUUCCACUUCCCCUCCAGAUGAGUGUGUUUGCAGGUCAAAUAAAAAGCAGCUAGUUUGUAAUGCCUCAGGCAUGGAGGAACUGAAGGAAAGCGGCACAGACCCACAAACCAAAUCUUAGAGCUAGUAUUCUAGUUAUGCAUGAUUCAAAAUGUCUAGUGUAACAUAGUUAUUACCAGUAAAUUGAGAUAUGCAUUUAUACAUAAUGAAGCAAUAGGAAUUAAUAUACCAAUAGCUUGAACUUCCUGCUUUGAUUCUCAAAUUUUUGGGUUUUUUUUCUUUCUUUUUUUUUUUUUCUUUUCUUUUUUUAGAGAAUGUGCUGCCUCUGUAGAGAAAGAGGCAGAAUGUAUAGAUAAGGACAGAAGCAUGGCACCAAAACUGUAAAUUAGGAACCAGGAUCAGCAGAACUCGCCUUUAUAACCUCUUGUCUGGUUCAUCUUAGUGCCCUGAGCAUGUGAAAAGCAGGGCAUGAACUAAGCAUGUUUAGGGGCGAGAUGGGGUUUCUCACCUGCUGCAGCUGUAGCAAGGAAAAGGGUGCAGAGUUUCUUACUUACAAGGUGCAGGGGAGAGCAACUAGUUGGGGGGGAAAAAGAAAACAAACACAAAACACACAAAAAUCACGUAAUGAAAACCACAGACUCAAAUUGACUGUGGCAUUUGCCAGACAGCAGGUAAUACGCUUGUGUGUGGUGAGAAAAAUUAUUUGGAGAAGACUGAAUUUAAUAAGCACAGUACAUAUAUUUCAGGUGUUGAAUAGCUUUUUAAGACAGUAUUUUCAGGUAACUCUCUAGCCACAUAGGCAGCUGUACUGAAGCAUACUGGUACUAGCCAGCAAUAAUGGCACCUGCAGGAAUGAACCUGAAAAUACUGGUAAUCUUGUAUAUUUUUUAAGUUCUUUAAAGAGAUUUUUAAAAACAGAAAAUGAGAUUUGAUCGCUGAAGGUCUUUUAUCUUCUGCAACACAGGUUGCAAUAGUCUUUUUUCUUUAUUUCACUUAUUACAUAAAAGGGAAAUUGGGUGCCAUCUUUCUGUAAACUUUUAGUGUGUUCUCUGUAAUAUUUCCCAAGUCUUUUAGUGAAUAAUGCAGUGAAUUUUUGCUGGCAGUUUGAAAAUAACAGAAUAUGUGGCAAAGCCUGCGUCACUAAUACUUUCCAAGCUUAAACUUGUAUUCAAGGAUGUUGAAUACUAGCUUGUUACUGCAGAAUUCCAUACUUCUACCUUAGCUUAACUUUGUAGGUGGGCUUAACUUGUGCAGAACACUUCUCCAUGUACAGAGGCUCCAUCCUCUUCCUUAAAUAGACAGAGGAAUUGUCUUGGAGGAAGAAAUUGUGUGUCAAGUUAACUCCUGUUCAUACUUCAUAGCAAACCAUCCAUAAAGCACCAUAACUUGGGUUUAGAAUGGAGGUUGCAUUUUUGUCAUGAAUGUUCUUUCCAGACAUACAAGAACUGCCAAAUGAAGAUAGGAAUAUUGUAAAAGAAGAUAACUAUUUUAUGGUAUCAGAAGUUAGACUAAAUGAAAUCCUUUGAGCCAACUUCUUCAAGCAAGAAGGGAAUUUGUAAAACAAGUUUAGCCAAACGGUUAACCAUGGCCACCUAACUCUCAGUGGGUAUUUUUUAGAACACUUCACAUAGUUUUAAACCCUGUUAAAUAUAUUUUCCUUUGUGUGAUGGUUAAGCAGUUAUGUCCUUUGUUAAUGCUUCUUCCCUUCAGUGUAAAACCUGGGGAAUGAGCUACUUCAGGAUGUCAAAAAAUAACAGCAAAGGAGAAGUAUUAGUUACGGAUUCUUUAAAAUUAUCUUAGUACUUGAAAACAGGCUAGAAAAUACUUCUUGUACUGAAUUUCUGAUGGCGUGCUCACAUGGAUUAGUGGAUGAAAUUAUUGGUGUUACUAGAACUAUGUACUCCCAUUGCACACGUUUUACAUGGUAACAGUGAAAGAAUGUCUCCCUGCAAAUUCUGAUGUUUUUUCCAAAAGGCAGCUUGCUUUGAUAUCUAUGCAUCUUUGAGGAUUUCAAGAUAAGAUUUUAUUCUUUUGACGCUGUAAAGAGGAACUGUUUAAAAAUGAACUUGGAAACUCUGCACCUGUAUACAAAUUUUUUUAGCAAUAAAGCAGCACAGGCUGAGAAUGCACUAAAA